UCGAGAAUCAUUCACAAUGGGGGAAACCCUGAUGGUGCGACGCCGCGUGGGGGAAUGAAGGUCUUCGGAUUGUAAACCCCUGUCAUGUGGGAGCAAAUUAAAAAGAUAGUACCACAAGAGGAAGAGACGGCUAACUCUGUGCCAGCAGCCGCGGUAAUACAGAGGUCUCAAGCGUUGUUCGGAAUCACUGGGCGUAAAGCGUGCGUAGGCGGUUUCGUAAGUCGUGUGUGAAAGGCGGGGGCUCAACCCCCGGACUGCACAUGAUACUGCGAGACUAGAGUAAUGGAGGGGGAACCGGAAUUCUCGGUGUAGCAGUGAAAUGCGUAGAUAUCGAGAGGAACACUCGUGGCGAAGGCGGGUUCCUGGACAUUAACUGACGCUGAGGCACGAGGGCCAGGGGAGCGAAAGGG
rnacentral:rRNA from 1 species